UACGGAGGGUGCAAGCGUUAUCCGGAUUCACUGGGUUUAAAGGGUGCGUAGGUGGGCAGGUAAGUCAGUGGUGAAAUCUCCGGGCUUAACCCGGAAACUGCCAUUGAUACUAUUUGUCUUGAAUAUUGUGGAGGUAAGCGGAAUAUGUCAUGUAGCGGUGAAAUGCUUAGAUAUGACAUAGAACACCAAUUGCGAAGGCAGCUUACUACACAAUGAUUGACGCUGAGGCACGAAAGCGUGGGGAUCAAACAGG
rnacentral:rRNA from 1 species